rnacentral:misc_RNA from 1 species
GGCGGCGGGGCUAGCGGGGC